rnacentral:lncRNA from 10 species
UUUGACUGGUUUUAUUAGAUAGAAAUUGAGGGCCGUUCAAACACAGUGACAGAUACAAAGUACCCUGAUGAUGUUUUUAGGCAUAGCAUCACAGUCAUCACUUCAGAAUCACUACUCAAGGACAGCCACACACAAGCUGGAAUUAUGCUACAGGAGUUUGUAUAAACCACUGCUCCCAGAACAAAAUUUGCAUAAAAAUAAGAUCAGGCCUGCAGCCCCCAUGUCCCCAAACUGUCUUUGAAUGGCACAGCCUUUCUCUCCAGGGCCAGGGGAGGGAGAAAAUCAGCAGAGCAAGCAAGGGGCUUUUCAUAUAGAUGGUGUUUCUCCACAUCCCAGCAAAGGACAUCUCAGGCCUCCCUUCUCUUCUCCAUCGGGAAAGGCUCCACGGAGCGCAGUGCAGCGUGACUUGGCUCUUUGAGAGGAAAGCAAGGGAGGGAAGGGAGGCAUGCCACGUGGCCGCUUUUUCUUCAUACGCAGGAGGCCACUCAGAAAUGAGCCGGUGCACCAGCCACUCAGAGAGAGACCCGGCUGCCUUCAUGCAGGCUCCUGGGCAGGGGUGCCAGGAAACUGACACCACGCCUGGGCUGAAGCCACUCCCAGGCACAGCCACAGGCACCUGGCUCCAGGGCAAAAGGUUUCCACAGCUCCCAUGCUGACUCCAGCAUCUGUCCUGGCUUUACUUGGGGAGGGAAGUGGCGGGGGAUUGGUUCCAAACUGUACCAUUGAACAAUCCAUUGUAUGCUUAUUGAGAUACAGUGUUAAUUUUUAAGAAAAUACAUAGACAAAUGCAUAUAUUUCAAAGUUCAAACAAUACUGUAUUGAAGAAGAGUUAUGGCUCUCUGAUGGGAGGCGAGUCGGUUCCAGAAAGGGAAGCUGCAGGCCACCAAGACCCUGCCAGGUCCCUAAAUUGUAUGUGCAGAGUGUGGGAGCCCCAGGGGGCACCAGCUGCCCCAUAAAGUGAUCUUGAGCAGAGGGACUUGCCCAGAAGCUAGCCACAGUGAGGGCCAGACGUCCCACUGGAGAAGAGUACAGGACGAUGGGCUCGGGAGUCCGGGGUAGUCUGGCAGGAGCUGCCACUUGGGACCCCUCCAGCUGCCUCCCACAUGGCCAGAGCAGCAGGGGGCCAGCACCAUGGUCCCUGACCCCAGCUUGCCCCGCUCUCCUGCUUUGCUCAGGCCUGUGGCCUUGGGUGACUCUGCCAGAUACAACUGCCUCCCUUCUGUCCCACUAGGUUCAGCCACCCAAGGCUGCUGGUUCGGGUGCCCUGAGCUUGGCCCCCAAAGAGGAAUGAAUACGAACAGGUCCCUCCACACAGGUGCUGGGCAGGGCAUGAGGCCAGGGUGAAGCCCAGGCCUGGAGCAGACUCCAGAUCAGCCUAACAACUUCAGAGGGGAGAAAAAGGUGCCCUAGAGGGCUAGAGCGGGACACUGGCCACCGUCCCCUGCCCUCCAGUUCCUCCCACCUUGAGGAAGCCUUGGCACCCAAAAGGAGAUGUCCAUCACCCACCAUGGGUGCCCUGGGCACACCACGCUAUCUUUCUGGGCCUCGGCAAGGAGGGUUGCUACUCUCUGCCCUGUCCUCCUUGCAGGAACGCAGCGAAGUCCAGUAAGAAAAUGGAUGGUGAAGGUGUGGAGAAAGUAAAAGUGUCACUUUCCCCCAGAAAUGGUCAUCUUUUUAAAUUCACCAAAAAACACCCAGGCCUGAGUCACUGCAGAGCCAGCACACCCCUAGCUGAAGUCCUGACCCUCCUGCCCCACACAAUAAGGACAACACAAGCAGAAUCAGAGGUGCAGAAAGAGGAUGAUCAGCCACACCAUCACCCACACUGCAAAGUCCCUUGGAGAUGGGAAGGUGGAAGGGGCUUGUCCCCCCACCACCUGCCCUUUUUUCUUAGGAGAGAGGUAGCAGGAGAGUCUCCAAUGUCAGGGGGAAAAUGUUAAGUUCAAAAGAGUGAGUUUGGCCGGGCACGGUGGCCCACACCUAUAAUCCCAGCACUUUGGGAGGAGGAGGUGGGCGAAUCACGAGGUCAGGAGUUCACAACCAGCCUGGCCAAAAUGGUGGCCCCGUCUCUACUAAAAAUACCAAAAAUUAGCUGGGCAAAGUGGUGGGCGCCUGUAAUCCCAGCUACUUGGGAGGCUGAGGCAGGAGAAUCACUUGAACCUGGGAGGCGGAGGUUGCCGUGAGCCGAGAUCAUGCCACUGCACUCCAGCCUGGGUGACAGAGUGAGACUCCAUCUCAAAAAAAAAAAAAGAGUGAGUUUACCCAUCUCGCCUAUCCUUCAUCAUCAGAUCAUCAACCGUUUCAUUUAUGUGAACUUCCAGGUCACUGAGCAUUUAUCUUUUAAGCACCAAGACUUUUGUGAAAGUAUUUUAACUGUUUGGGGAUGGAAAUAAUUCUAAAGUGGAUAAAACGCAGCCCUGCCUUCUUAGACAGUGUAUUGAACAUUGUUGGAACGCUUUUUUACCUCUGCAUGUCCUGGAUGUCACAGGGUGAACUGAGCUGAAAUGCUGUGUUGCUCCCGGGGUUAUUAUAACAUAUUCUCCCUCUCUUCCCCACUAAACGACCAACGACCUCAGGCUACUUGAUGGUUCCUGAGAUAUGUAUUUAGUUUUGGUCUUUUUUAAUUAUUAUUUUGAGACAGGGUCUGGCUCUGUCACCCAGGCUGGAGUGUAGUGGUAUGAUCUCAGCUCACUGCAACCUCUGCCUCCUGGGCUCAAGCCAGUCUCCCACCUCAACCUCUUGAGUAGCUGGGACUGACUACAGGUGUGCUUUUGUAUUCUUUAUUGAGACAGGGUUUUGCCAUGUUGCCCAGGUUGGUCGUCAACUCUUGAGCUCAAGCGAUCUCCCGCCUCAGCCUCCCAAAAUGCUGGGAUUACAGAUGUGAGCCACCAUGCCUGGACAUAUUUUCUUAUCCUUAAUGUAGUGUUUUUUUUUUUCCAAAGACAAGCUGUCGUUGAACAAGUAAACUAGUUUUGGUCUUCUUAAUGCCAUCACAAUUUAGGCUAUUAGCUGCCACUUCUUGCUUUAUCUAGCACAUGUCAUCAUUCUCUUAGUUUGCUUUGUCAUUAGAAAUCAGAACCAAGUUCACUAGAACUGAAUUUAAAAUCAAAGCAAAUGCCGUGAGAUAUGUGAUAUUAGCAAAAUGGUUGGCCCUUGAUACACAGCUUUAUAGCAUCUAUUUUCAGGGGCUCAAAAUUAUUUUCCUUCAACUGAGUCCUCAGUUACCUGGGGGCUGAGUGAAUUUGCUGGGUUCGAUCCUAGGAAGUGAGUUGUGUUUUCACCCUGCCUCAGUAAAACAGUAGCCAUUUCCACUUUUAAUAAGUCUUUGAGAUCUCCAGAGGCUCUUGUCAACUUUGUCGCUGAAUGUGGAAUUCUGAGCUCUCAUGGGGGUUGAAGUUGCCCACGUUGUGGGGGCAUCUUUGGAGGAGGGAGACUAGAUUGAGGCAGAAACCAGGUACUAACUCUCUGGUUUCAGCUCAAGCCUGUUCCAAAGUAUGAUAGAAAAGGAAAUGCAUAAAGAAGUGAGGCUCUAACCCUAGCUCCUGGGCUCACGGCAGUCCUGGUGCUGUGUUUCCUCAUUGCUACCUUCCAUGUUUGUGCACAGAUGUGGAGGUGGGCAGAGGGCUGGGUCUGCAUCAGAAAACCAGGCUUUCCCCCAGGUGGACCAGACAGGUCCUCCCCAUGCUAGAGGGCCAAGUGUGUGGUACUCAGAUCCUACCCAGCGCCGGUCACAAGGUGACCCUCACCCAGGCACAGGCUGAACCUAUUGCUGCAGAUCCACCAACCCCUUAGCUCAGAUCACUAAAUGCAUCCUAAUCUUAGGCACAGAUAAAUUCUUAAUUCAGGCAGACUCUGAGGCUCCUAGCCCCGGGAGAAGAAAUCUAUGUUACUUUGCUUUAAAAAUAUGUCAUAAUAUUUAUCUGAAUGCUAAAAUGUUCAGAAAAAGAAAAGCUGGUACCUUUAAGAAGUCUCACGCCUGAGUCAGACUGAGGGAAGGAAGGGUCCACCAACCCCCAACCAGGAAAAAGAACAGGGCAGCAGAACAGGGCCAAUCUCAUUAAAGGAUCAUCUAGAGCCAUGAGCCUCCAAGUGCAGUCCCUGGACCAGCAUUGGCAUCACCUGGGAACUUGUUAGAGAUGCUCCACCCUGGCCUCACCAAAUAACUCUGGGGCGGGGCCCAUAAUCAAGGAGCUCUCCAAGAGAUUCUGAGGCAGCCUCCAGUUUGAGAACUGCUGACCUAGAAUAGUGGUUCUCAAGGCUGGCUGCACAUUAGAAACAUCUGGAGAAUUUGUGAAAUCCUAAUAUUCAGGUCACAUCUCAGACCACCUGACUCAGAAUGUCAAGGGGUGGGGUCGCACGAGUAUUUCUUAAAGCUCUUCAGACGACUCUAGCGUGCACCAAGGCAUAGACUGCCUGCCUUAGGGUAAUGACUCCCAACCAUGUGAGACAGAACCACUUAAUGAGAUCUUUCAAAAUAGGGAUACCAGGCCCUAUCCCCAGGCCUGCUGAAUCAGAUCCUCCGGGAAGUAAAGGACCUGGCUUGGGGAUUAUUUUAUAAAGACUUCCAGGUGAUUCCUAUGUACACACAAGGUUGCAAAUGGCAAUUCUAGAGAAAACAGAACUUUUACCCCAAAGCUGAGCAGAUCAUUUAGUUGAAGGAAAUGAGAGAUUUGUUGCCAUGGGAACCAUCUUCAACUGAAGAGAGAGUCACUGAUUUCUGGCUUUUGUGGCCAACAGCUAAGUCAUGGAAGUGUAUGUUUUUGCUUUUGGUUUUUUUCCUUUGAAAUAAAAAAAAAAAAAAAGAAAGGUUCUCAGAAGAGACUGUGCAGGGGAAAAUACCUAAAGACUUCUAAAAGAUCAGCAAGGCUAUUGUCUCUCAGGACAUGCUGGCCAGGACAGUGGAGCCCAGGUGGCAGAGCAAGGCCAGGUCUGCACUCUCCCUCAGCAAGGGGCCAAGGUCUCAGGAAGCCAGGGGCCAACGACCAGCCCAGGACAACUGCCCAAGGCAAAAACAAAAACAAAAAUCAGAUUUCUGCUUUAGGGACACCCAAAACAGUUAAUGUCAUUUGAGAGCUGCUUGCACCUAAGUGAUUCUAAAAAGUCUCUGGUAUACUAUACUAAGUGAAAUAAGCCAGUCAUCAGAAAGACAAAUAUUAUAUGAUUCUACUUAUAUGAGGGACCUAGAGCAGUAAAAUUCAUAGAGAAAGAAAGUAGAAUUGCGAUUGCCAGGGGCUGGGGAAGGGGGAAGUGAAGACUUGUCAUUUAAUGGGUUUAAAGUUUUCAUUUUGCAAGAUGAGAAGAGUUCCAGAGACAGAAUAUACAACAGUGUGAAUGUACUUACCAUUACUGAACUGUACACUUAAAAAUGGUUAAGAUGAUAAAUUCUAUGUUAUGUGUAUUUUACCAUAAUUACAAAUGAAAAAGAAAUCUUUGUUUGUGUUAAAGCAAAACCAAUUUUGUAAAUGUUAGAUUCCCGAGCACUUGACUUUUGUUGCUAGGUACAUAGUGGGUUAUAUAUUAUAUUUGUAUGUACAGAAAAGGCAGAAGUUGGGUUGUGUGCCAAAUUCUUCUUUUCAUUCUUUUCCUACUCAAGGCUCCAGUCUGAAUUUCAAGCCAUACAUGGCCACUCAACUGGUGGCAACUUCUGAACCACAAGCAGUUGUAUGCUCAGGGAACAGAUAGGGCCUCACACAUGCUGAUUCCCAGGCGCCACCUCUCCCCCAGGUUCUCAGUCCAUAGUUUUAACAAGCACCCAGGUGAUUCUGAUGCAGGCCAUCAGAAGGCCAUCCUACAGGGCAUCCUAAUAAACCCAUGUGAUCUUCAAAGGGUAGACUGUAGAUCUAUACUGUAGAUCUAUACUGUAGGUCUAUCCAGUCUACCCUUUGAAGAUCACACUGUAGAUCUAUCCAGUCUACCCUUUGAAGAUCACACUGGUUUAUUAGGAUGCCCCGUAGGAUGGAAUCAGCCUCCACAGACUGGCCUCGUUUGACUAGACCUCUAAACAAUAGCACAAGGCACACCCUGGCCACUGGUGCACCCCUCGCCUGGCCUCACCUGACCCCUGAGCCACAGUUAGCCUCUUCCCAGAGGGUGCUCUGGUUACAGGGAGGAGACUAGGUCAGGGCGUGUGUUGAGCUCAGAGAAGCAGCACCUUUUUUCCCCCAGGAAACAACCCCAUGCUCCUGGUCUUCCCCUUCGCAUCUGGAGCAGACAUCCUGCAAAGCUCAGCUCACCUGUUUCCCAGCCAAAGCAUUCAGCAUGUUCCUCUAGUUUUUUAAACACCAUUGAUAAAUCCCUCUUACAUUGCUUCCCAGGCUGCACCUCAGCCACAGUGAUGUAAGAGCCUGACAUGUUUGUGUGGCUUUGAGGAAGGGAAGAAGUAGACAACAAGAAACACAGAAAAUGUCUCUCCCUUCUUUCAUUUAAACUAGAGGAAAAAGGAUUGGCUAGCCAGCAAAAAGCAGAUGAGCAGGAUUAUAAUGAGGGAAAACAAAAAGAGGCUAGCCAAGCCCAUAAGCCCCCACUAGACAGACAUUUCAGCCUCCUGAGCCCCGAGCUCCCCUGGACAGGCAGGAGGAGUCUCUGCCUUCCUGGGAUGUGCUAGGUAAAAAAAUCAAUAGAGGACUCUCCUCAGCUGACAAUUUCCCCAAGGUGUUACUCAGUUUAUUAGCGGGGUAUCCUGAACUGCUGGAGUCCCCCAGGAACCAGAGACCUCAUUACUGUAGUAAACAUGUGUUGAGUGGCCAUGGCAUGUGCUUCCCCGCCAGUGCUGGCAAUACAAAAUGAGCUUAGAUAUCGUGUCUUCCCUUGGGGAGAAGGCAAACCUUCUAUCAAGGACACACGGGCCCUUAUGCUGUGUGCUGUGAGGAUGUCCUAAUGGAGUCGGUGAUGGUUGCAGCAGAAGCACAGAGGAGAGAGUGCCCAGCCCAGGUCUCUAGAGGGGAGGAUGCAGGGGGCCAUUACCUGACUUCUGCAAAAGUGGCCAGAUAAAAGGAAGGAGAGAGGAACUUAGGAGUGUGAGGGCCAUUCCAGGUGUUUGAACAGAGUGUGCAAAGGUGCCUGGAAUAGUAUGGGAUAGGGCAGGGAGGUGGCAGGAGGAUCUCUGGGAAGGUGAGUAAGCCAGCUUGGGACAUUCCCUGCAUGACUUGGUAAAGAACCUGAAGUUUAUGAUACAGGUAGGCAAUGGGCCCCACAAAAGGUAUUUUUGGAAGGUUAUUCUCUGAAAGCAAAAAGAUCCAUCAGAUGGUCUGGGUUAGGGCAGUAGCAGAGGGGUUGCAGGGAGGGAAUGACUUAAAGGGAUGUUUAUGAGUUGGAAUUGACAAGAUACAGUGAACAAAUAGACAUAAAGAGUGAAGGAGAAGGAAGAGGCAAAGGUGAUCCAAGUUUUGGGCCAAGGCAACCUGUGCUUGCUAGUGUCUAGUUUGUGCUGGGCACUGUGCUAGGCAUUGUGCAACACUAUUUCACUUAGCUUUGCAACAGCUGUUGUGGUUGGUAUCCUGUCCUCAUUUCAGAUGAUGAGUCCAGAGCCUCCAGGGGCUUCUGGAGCUCCCUCAAUUUCACACAGCUACGAAGUAGUAGGAGGAGACUCUGAGUUCAGAUUGUUCUUUUAACUAUACCAGUUGAGGACAUGUUGAGGUCUGAGAUGCUGUGCAGACACAGACAUGCAGGAGGCCACAGUGAGCAUGCUUCCAAUGCUCCUAGGGAGGACUGGCCUGCAGGUAGAGGGGUUAAGAUGCCAGGGCAGAAGAUACUUAAGGCUUUGAAUAGAUGAGAUUUCUGCAGGAAUGCUCCUAGGAAGAGAAGAGAACCCUGAGGAAGCUUCACGGAAGAUGAAUCCACAAAGGAACCUGAGAAGGAGCAUUCAGAGAGACAGGAGGAAAGUCAGGGAAGAAUAGUUAGAAAACAGAAGAGGAGAGGACUUUAGAAAGACCAGAGAGACUGUGCAUAGUGGCUCACACCUGUAAUCCCAGCACUUUGGGAGGCCAAGGCAGGAGGAUUGCUUGAGCUCAGGAGUUCGAGACUAGCCUCGUCAACAUAGCAAAACCCCGUUUCUACAAAAAAAAAAAAAUUUUCAAAUUAGCUGGGAGCAAUGGCACGUGCCUGUGGUCCUAGCUACUUGGGAAGCUGAGGUGGGAGGAUCACUUGAACCCAGGUGUCGAGGCUGCAGUGAGCCAUAUUUAUAUCACCACCCUCUAGCCUGGGUGACAGAGGGAGACUCUGUCUCAAACAAACAAACAAAAAAGACCAGAGAGGCCAACCUUGUCAAAUGUUACACGGAUGUCAAGGAUGAUAUCUGAGAAGUAUCUGCUGCUUUGCUCAUUACACUUUUUAUGCUGCCAACCUUCAGAAUUCGGAAUUGACUUUGGUCAUCCCCUCCUCCACCUCUCCCAGAUAACUGUCCCUGAGACUGGAUUUGAUAGUGUUCAGCACAACCAGCUCCCACGUACGUUUGUGGGAUUCGUCAUUUAACGUCUGUAUACACACACACCAGACCACAAACUCCCGGAGGGCAGGGACGACGUUUUGUUCAUCACUAGCUCCCCGGCACCUGGCACCAUGCCUGGCACAACAUGAGCACUCAAUAAAUAUAAUUUAUUCACCAAUUCACUCACUAAAUUGGCCAGCACUCUACUCUGCCUCAGUUGUUUCUAAGCACUGCUCUGCUUCCUCCCUGCUCUCAGCAAAGUCAAGGGCGAUGAGCACAUGCUGUCUCUGGGCACCAGGUGAUUAGUGGGCAGAGCUGCCGCAGCAGCAUUGCUGAAAUGGUCUCAGACGCUGCCUCUGACCUUGAGCCACCUUUCUUUGUGCUUGGCUAAGCACUGAGUCAUUUACUUGUUUUUGCUGCCUUUCAAGCCUGGAGCAGUGGGUUUAGCACAAAGGAAGACAUGAUGGUUGUUUUGUUUACGGGAAUCGAUUUCCCUUGAAUAAUAAUUCAAUGGGUAGUCUGCACUGCAUGGUGGCGUGGUGACAGGGCUGUGGAGGAACAUGGCAGAAGGCUUCCAGAGUCAACACCAGGUCUCUCUGAGCCUUUGAAAAAAUGUUUUUCUUAUAAACACUGGCUGCAGCAGAAAAACUAUAUCCUGAAAGUCAGGAGACUGGUGAGUCCCAGUUGAGCCACAAGCUGGCCAUGUAGCCCUGGGCAAGUCAUUCGUGUUGUCACUUAACAUGUGCUAUCUCUGGGCAUCUUUCCUCACCUUAAAAAUGUGACGAUGGCCUCAGUUCCCCUCCAGUGCCACUGUGGGUAAGUCGCUACUGCUGUAGGCGGCAGGGUUAGGGAGAGGCACCUAUAAGCACAGGCUGCUUCCCGGACGAUGACAGCCUCCUAGAGCAUUUGUCCCUGGAGGAGGGCCCCGUACUAUCCUGCAGGGGCAUCUUGGUCAGGAUCCCUCAUGUUCUGGUGUCACUGUCUGGGAAGCUAAGACAGAGGUUUGGAGCACAGACUUUGGGGCUCUACAGAUCUGGGUGCAGUUCCCUCCAUUGGGUGCCGUUCCCUCCAUUGGGUGCCUGACCAAGGGCAAGUCCUGGAAUUGCUUUAAGCCUCUGUCUCCUCAUCUGUACAAUGGGAGCCUCCUUACCCAAAGGGGUCUCAUGAUGAUUACAGGAGAUAAUAUAGGGAAAGUGCUUAACGUAGCUUGAUAAAUGCUAGCUAGUAUAAUGAGAAAUAUUAAUUAUGGUUUAGAUCCAUUCAUCAUGAAUGUCCCCCCAAAAUAAGGACAUUGUACAGACGCUGAAGAUUUUUACAAAGCUUCUAGUUGUAGAGAUGAGGAAACUGAGACAUUGAGGGAGAGGAAGGACUGGCCCUAAGACCCACAGGCAGGAAUAUGGCCAGCAGCCAGGUGUCCCAACUCCUCUGUGGGCUGGAUCCCGAUGCUCCAAUCCUCAGCUCCUACGAGGGCCCUGGCUGGGGCAGAUUCCAACCUGCAACACCCUCAGCUGUGGGAAUCCUGAUGUCUGUGUCACCAGGGAGCCUCCCCCAAACACUGCCCAUCUGGAACAUAACUAGUACCCAGAGGGCUUCCAGUAGAGGGCUCUGUCCACAGCAGGCACUCAGUAGAGCCCCAGGCAUGACUUGACCCAGUCACAUCUUUGCUCUGGGCCUGUUUCCUAAAGUGGAACAAAAUGGUCUUUAAGAACCUUCUAGUUUUUAUAUUCCAUGGUUUCAAGAACUGGGUUCAAUUAACCAUGCAGUGGCUAGAAAUCUCAGGUAACUGGAAUCUUUCCCAGAAAUUCCCUCCCUGGGAGAAAUAGGCAGAGCUCAAGCAAGUAAUAACCAUCCACUGUCCUUUGCAGUUCUUCCUGGUUUAGCAGGUGUUUGGGAUCAUUUCAUCCCCUUGGCUACUCCCCUACAUUCCUGACCAGCAGACUGAGACUCAGAGCCACCUGAGGUUUUCCCAACCAGGACCAGAGCUCAGAAUGCAGCUGACUGCCCCAAGCCCAGGCCCUGGGGUCUGCUGUGAGAAGUCCCGCCUUCACAGCGGAAGCCUCAGUGAUGCUGGUGUCGGAGGCCACAACUCGUUUCUCUCUGCUAAGCUCACCACCUGACAUGUCAGUGCUUUCCAGCCCAGAGCCUAUGGUUCCGACUGAGGAACACGAUACAGCAGGAUUCUGCAGGAUUCAGAGACAUGAGAGG